AGUGAACGCUGGCGGUAGGCCUAACACAUGCAAGUCGAACGGCAGCACAGUAAGAGCUUGCUCUUACGGGUGGCGAGUGGCGGACGGGUGAGGAGUACAUCGGAAUCUACUUUUUCGUGGGGGAUAACGUAGGGAAACUUACGCUAAUACCGCAUACGACCUACGGGUGAAAGCAGGGGAUCUUCGGACCUUGCGCGAUUGAAUGAGCCGAUGUCGGAUUAGCUAGUUGGCGGGGUAAAGCCCACCAAGGCGACGAUCCGUAGCUGGUCUGAGAGGAGGAUCAGCAAGACGGGAACUGAGACAGCGACCAGAGUCCUACGGGAGGCAGCAGAGGGGAAUGUUGGACAACGGGGGCGAGUCUGACACAGCCAUACCGCGGGGGGGAAGAAGGCCUUCGGGUCGUAAAGACGUUUUGCUGGGAAAGAAAAGCAGCAGGUUGAUACCCCGCUGUUGUGACGGUACCCAAAGAAUAAGCACCGGCUAACUUCGUG
rnacentral:rRNA from 1 species